rfam:Halococcus saccharolyticus DSM 5350 contig_15, whole genome shotgun sequence.
AGCGGGAUGGGAUAGCCAGACAUUCCAGCGGGUUCAUAUCCCGCAGAUCGGUGGUUCGAAUCCACCUCCCGCUA